CCGCCAUUAACUCAGCUGGAAGAGUAUAUAACUUAGUGUUGUAGGAACGGGGUUCGAGGCCUCGAUGGCGGACCA
rnacentral:tRNA from 2 species